UCUAGCAUGAAGUCAGACAAGUGAA
rnacentral:rRNA from 5 species